rnacentral:rRNA from 1 species
AGAGUUUGAUCCUGGCUCAGGAUGAACGCUGGCGGCGUGCUUAACACAUGCAAGUCGAACGAAGCAUUUAAGACAGAUUUCUUCGGAAUGAAGUUUUUUAUGACUGAGUGGCGGACGGGUGAGUAACGCGUGGGUAACCUGCCUCACACAGGGGGAUAGCAGUUGGAAACGACUGGUAAUACCGCAUAAGCGCACAGCUUCGCAUGAAGCGGUGUGAAAAACUCCGGUGGUACAGGAUGGGCCCGCGUCUGAUUAGCUGGUUGGCAGGGUAACGGCCUACCAAGGCGACGAUCAGUAGCCGGUCUGAGAGGAUGAACGGCCACAUUGGAACUGAGACACGGUCCAAACUCCUACGGGAGGCAGCAGUGGGGAAUAUUGCACAAUGGGGGAAACCCUGAUGCAGCAACGCCGCGUGAGUGAAGAAGUAUUUCGGUAUGUAAAGCUCUAUCAGCAGGGAAGAAAAUGACGGUACCUGACUAAGAAGCCCCGGCUAACUACGUGCCAGCAGCCGCGGUAAUACGUAGGGGGCAAGCGUUAUCCGGAUUUACUGGGUGUAAAGGGAGCGUAGACGGCUUUGCAAGUCUGAUGUGAAAGGCGGGGGCUCAACCCCUGGACUGCAUUGGAAACUGUGAGGCUUGAGUGCCGGAGAGGUAAGCGGAAUUCCUAGUGUAGCGGUGAAAUGCGUAGAUAUUAGGAGGAACACCAGUGGCGAAGGCGGCUUACUGGACGGUAACUGACGUUGAGGCUCGAAAGCGUGGGGAGCAAACAGAAUUAGAUACCCUGGUAGUCCACGCCGUAAAC